rnacentral:rRNA from 1 species
UACGAAGGGGGCUAGCGUUGCUCGGAAUUACUGAGCGUAAAGGGCGCGUAGGCGGACAGUUAAGUCAGAGGUGAAAGCCCAGGGCUCAACCUUGGAACUGCCUUUGAUACUGGCUAUCUAGAGUGCGGGAGAGGUGUGUGGAACUCCGAGUGUAGAGGUGAAAUUCGUAGAUAUUCGGAAGAACACCAGUGGCGAAGGCGACACACUGGCCCGUAACUGACGCUGAGGCGCGAAAGCGUGGGGAGCAAACAGG